rnacentral:rRNA from 1 species
UACGUAGGAUCCAAGCGUUGUCCGGAUUUACUGGGUGUAAAGGGUGCGCAGGCGGACUUAUAAGUCAGAGGUGAAAUCUCACUGCUCAACAGUGAAACUGCCUUUGAUACUGUAGGUCUUGAAUUAGGGAGAGAUUCGUGGAAUUCCGAGUGUAGCAGUGAAAUGUGUAGAUAUUCGGAAGAACACCAGAGGCGAAGGCAGCGAAUUGGCCCUAUAUUGACGCUCAGGCACGAAAGCAUGGGGAUCAAACAGG